rnacentral:rRNA from 1 species
UACGUAGGGGGCGAGCGUUGUCCGGAAUUAUUGGGCGUAAAGAGCGUGUAGGCUGUUCGGUAAGUCUGCCGUGAAAACCUGAGGCUCAACCUCGGGCGUGCGGUGGAUACUGCCGGGCUAGAGGAAGGUAGAGGCGAGUGGAAUUCCCGGUGUAGCGGUGAAAUGCGCAGAUAUCGGGAGGAACACCAAUGGCGAAGGCAGCUCGCUGGGACGUUACUGACGCUGAGACGCGAAAGCGUGGGGAGCAAACAGG